GCCGGAUUAAUACCGCAUACGCUCUACGGAGGAAAGGGGGGGAUCUUAGGACCUCUCGCUACAGGGGCGGCCGAUGGCAGAUUAGCUAGUUGGUGGGGUAAAGGCCUACCAAGGCGACGAUCUGUAGCUGGUCUGAGAGGACGACCAGCCACACUGGGACUGAGACACGGCCCAGACUCCUACGGGAGGCAGCAGUGGGGAAUUUUGGACAAUGGGCGAAAGCCUGAUCCAGCAAUGCCACGUGUGUGAAGAAGGCCUUCGGGUUGUAAAGCACUUUUGUCCGGAAAGAAAACUUCUGUCCUAAUACGGCGGGAGGAUGACGGUACCGGAAGAAUAAGCACCGGCUAACUACGUGCCAGCAGCCGCGGUAAUACGUAGGGUGCAAGCGUUAAUCGGAAUUACUGGGCGUAAAGCGUGCGCAGGCGGUCCGCUAAGACAGAUGUGAAAUCCCCGGGCUUAACCUGGGAACUGCAUUUGUGACUGGCGGGCUAGAGUAUGGCAGAGGGGGGUAGAAUUCCACGUGUAGCAGUGAAAUGCGUAGAGAUGUGGAGGAAUACCGAUGGCGAAGGCAGCCCCCUGGGCCAAUACUGACGCUCAUGCACGA
rnacentral:rRNA from 1 species